rnacentral:rRNA from 1 species
CGAACGGGUGAGUAACGCGUGAGGAACCUGCCUCAAGGAGGGGGACAACAGUUGGAAACGACUGCUAAUACCGCAUAAGCCCACGGCUCGGCAUCGAGCAGAGGGAAAAGGAGCAAUCCGCUUUGAGAUGGCCUCGCGUCCGAUUAGCUAGUUGGUGAGGUAACGGCCCACCAAGGCGACGAUCGGUAGCCGGACUGAGAGGUUGAACGGCCACAUUGGGACUGAGACACGGCCCAG